rnacentral:rRNA from 1 species
GUGGAUUAGAUACCCUGGUAGUCCUGGCAGUAAACGGUGCACGUUUGGUGUGGGGGGAUUCGACCCCUUCCGCGCCGGAGCUAACGCGUUAAACGUGCCGCCUGGGGAGUACGGUCGCAAGAUUAAAACUCAAAGAAAUUGACGGGGGCCCGCACAAGCGGUGGAGUAUGUGGCUUAAUUCGAUGCAACGCGAAGAACCUUACCAGGCCUUGACAUGCAUUUCUAAGUUGGUGAAAGCCAGCGAGUGUCGAAAGACACAACUUGCACAGGUGCUGCACGGCCGUCGUCAGCU